UUAGAAGAAGCAUUAUGUUAAAUACUCUCUUAAUUAAGUACUAGUGUAGAGACCCGCGCUUUGCAGCGGAUAAAAAUCUUAAUAGUAAUUAAUAAUAAUAAAAUAUUAAAUAUUCUCUUGUGUAUCUUAUUUGGUACAUCUACCGAAAAUAUCUCACUGCAGGCGGCAGAUAUGAACCCGACGAUGCCUUCUCCGGCGAUGGUGAUAGUGACGGCGACGACGAUCUCUCCGACCGCGGCGGAAGAAGGAAUUGGGUGCACAUUAGUGAGAGAGAGAGGGAGUGAGGAAAGGAGACGAUGGUGUAUAGCUAAAGAUGAGAAAUAAAGAAUUGAUGAACAAAUCGAAGAUAAAGAAUUGAAAGUUCGGUGGAAGGAGGAAAAUGGGCCAUGAUGAAUAAUUAGAGAUAGAGGUUAGAAUCGUAGAUAGUAGUAGGACCAUUUAAAUAUAUUAAUUGAAAGUUUGGUAGUGGAACCAUUUACAUUAAUUAAAAGUACAGUAGAGGGAAGGUAGUGGGACCAUUUAAAUACACUAAUUGAAAGUUUGAUUAAUGAGACCGUUAAAAUGUAUAUUAAAAAUUUAGUGAAUAUGAUGAAUAAUUGGACAUAAAGAGAUUAGGAUCGUAAAUAGUAGUAGGACCAUUUAAAUAUACUAAUUAAAAGUUUGGUAGUGGAACCAUUUAUAUUAAUUAAAAAUAUAGUGGAGGGAAGGUAGUGGGAAGUUUGGUUAAUGGGACCAUUAAAAUGCAUAUUGAAAAUUUAGUGAUAGAAAGAAGAAGAGUUACAUUAGUGAGGGUGAAGAAAAACUUGCCACGUGGCAACAAACAUUGAGGAUUCAUAUAGUUUAAUAGAUAUUCUUUUUGCAGUACAAAUAGAAGUAUCGCGUUAGAGCUUUUGUACUGUUGGACCUUUUUUUUUUUUUUUUUUUACAUUGUUGUAGUAGAAGAGUCGAACAUUUUUAUUUGUUAAAUAUUUUGGUGGUUGUUGAAGCCCAGCCAAACAAACAUUACAUAAGGGCAUGUUUGG
rnacentral:lncRNA from 1 species